GGUGUCAACUUAAAACCCAAACCUCUUUACUCCCUGUUCCUGCUCCCCUCCCUCCAAGCCCCGUUCCCCUCCCACAAAGCCCACUCGGCCCUCCUCUUAGGUAAUCUAGGAGAAAGGUGGCUUGUCGAGGGGAUGGGACGUUGUAGUGCGUGAAGGCAUCUCCCAUGGCAGUCAGAAAGUCCUGUACAUCACCUGCCCCAUCAAAGGUCGGUAGUCUCUUUUCUGGUGCCAACACAAGUUGAGGUGGGGGCCUCAAUAAGAGCUUUGUCAAGUUUUGAACUGUCUCGCUUUCAUGACUAUCAGCUUUCUCCUCUGGGAAGAGAGGGUGAUAACAUGUCACUUUCUAUUGUCCAAGGGGCUGGAUGACCCCACCAACCGCGGGCAGUAUCACCUCUUCUCCUCCCAACAUCUGUAUAAACCAAAUCAAACAAGUACUGUUAAAGAAAUUCAUAAGGUCUCCAUUAAAAUCUUCAUUCAUACCCAAAAAAUGAAUUGGCCCACAAUGGCCCUAGAACUCUACUUUCUGUACGUAAUGCAAUAAGCUAUGCGUAUUCCAUGUUUGUAUGUUUUGCCAUAUAAUGCCUCAAUACACAGCCACAAGUGACAGAGUAGUUUUUCUUCCUUUUUCAAGCAUUGGUCUGACAUUGAGUUAGAAAGUAGUAUGAAGGAUGCUUCAUUCAGUAGAAGAAAAUGCUGGAAAUAUUCUGGAGGCAAAAUCUUGGCCCACAAACGAGGAAUUCCGUAAAAUAAUAAAAAUGACCUAAAUUCUGAUGCCUUCCAAGAUUUGAAGUGAAUUCCUAUAUAACGAGGCAUUCUAGAUAUGGUAUAUACAGUGUAUAGGGGUGAAAUUCCGUUUAAUCUCCUAUCGACUUCUCUCACUUUCUUUAAUAAAUUUUGAUAAGCUUCUUUUUGGUGACUACUAUCAAACAAAAGUUCAAUGAGCAUUUUCAUUACAUCUAAAACUAGUCCAUGCAUAUAAUCUGCAGCUACAGUACACUGUCUUUAAAUACACUCUCCAAGGGGAUGUACUGACACAGUUAUUCAGUUAACUUCUUCGAAGCCCCUGGCAUUCCAGUGGUUGCAUUUGCUUUACUUAGUUACACUUCUCUUGUUUACUCGUUUUUGCCAAAUAAAAAUAAUAAUAACAAUAAUGUUAUGCUAUGCAAUGUGCAAUAUACAUGUACAUAAACUUUGCAUUGUACGUACAUGGUAGCAAUAGGUAAUGUGUAAGCGGCGCCUGGCCUGAUAUGAAUAUUCAUUAUAGAUCUGGAGGUGUGCUCCAAACGAUGCACCUAACAAAGUGGAUGUUCACAACAUCUUUAGUCUUGUGCUCCAUGAACGUGUAUGUUAAGUAUUGGGCACUGAAGCCAGGGCUGUCGUUACGUCCAUCCCCUUCCAAUCAAGUAGUAGUAUAUACUUAUUGAUUAGCAAGAGUUUCUUGUUUCAUGCAAGUUUUUAUCAAAUUUUAAUAGUGUUUGCGAUAAGUAAAUGAAAUUAUAAUUAUACACAUACAUGUUGGUAACAUAAUCUCUAUGUUAUAACCAUUGCUUUACAUUUGAAAGCCAUUAACUUGGGGAGAAUGACAAAUCUACUACUUGUGAUAACUCACCACAAAAGACUACAGGGCAUGGACAAAAAAUGUUGGUAGACCUCUCUUCCACGUGCAUUGUCUCUUGUUCCUCCAAAGUCCUUCUGACAAUUAAAGCUGCUGGUUUGGUCCCAAUUCUAACUUUCCUUUGUAGCCUCUGGAUGAAAUCCAGGGACCCAAACCUUUGUGCAUCUUUGACCAGAUGGAGGAGUGCAUGGACAUUGUAUACAAGGAACUCUUUCCCGUACAAUUCUGCAGCUUGACUCACAAAGUACUGCAAUAAUUGGCCUGCCUAGCUUCCAUGGGUUACUGCAAGUCGAGGACUAACUAGGAAGCAAAUAGCAACACUGAAAACCAUAACAUGACUGUAAUUUUCCUCAGGAAGUACUUCUUUCAGGACAAACUGGCCAGUAUAUAGCAACAAAAUUUGGUAGACCUUUCUUCCACAUGUAUUGUCUCUUGCUCCUUCAAAGUCCUUCUUACGAUCUGAGCUGCUGGUUUGGUCCCACUUCUUACUUUCCUUUUUAGCCUCUGCAUGAAAUUUUCGAAUUUCCAAGCUGCACCUUUGUCCAUGGACCCAAACCUUUGUGCAUCUUUGACCAGAUGGAGGAGUGCAUGGACAUUGUACACAAGGAAUUCUUUCCCGUACAAUUCUGCACCUUGACUCACAAAGUACUGCAAUAAUUGGCCUGCAUAGCUUCCAUGGGUUACUGCGAGUUGAGGACUAACUAGGAUGCAAAUAGCAACACUGAAUACCAUAAAAUGACUGUAAUUCUCCUCAGGAAGUACUUCUUUCAGGUCAAACUGACCAGUGUACAGCAAAUUUUGUUGGUAGACCGCUCUUCCACAUGUACCGUCUCUUGCUCCUCCAAAGUCCUUCAUACGAUCUGAGCUGCGGGUUUGGUCCCACUUCUUACUUUUCUUUUUAGCCUCUGCAUGAAAUUUUCGAAUUUCCAAGAUGCACAUUUGUCCAGGAACCCAAACCUUUGAGCAUAUUUGACCAGAUUGAGGAGUGCAUGGACAUUGUACACGAGGGAGGAACUCUUUCCCGUACAAUUCUGCACCUUGAUUCACAAGGUACUGCAAUAAUUGGCCUGCAUAGCUUCCAUUUGUUACUGCAAGUUGAGGACUAACUAGGAUGCAAAUAGCAACACUGAAUACCAUAAAAUGACUGUAACUUUCCUCUUUCUUUCAGGACAAACUGGCCAGUGUAUAGCAAUUUUUUUGUUAGACCUCUCUUCCAUAUGUAUUGUCUCUUGCUCCUCCAAAGUCCUUCUGACGAUUUGAGCUGCUGGUUUGGUUCCACUUCUAACUUUCCUUUUUAUCCUCUGCAUAACAUUUUCAAAUUUCCAAGCUGCACAUUUAUCUAGUGGCUCAAACGUUUGUGCAUCUUUAACCAGGUGGAGAAGUGCAUGAACGUUAUACACGAGGAACUCUUUCCUGUACAUGUAGGUAACAUAAUCUCUAUCUCAUUGCUUUAGAUUUGAAAGCCAUUAACUUAGGGAGAACAACAAAUCGACUACUUGUGAUAACUCACCACUAUUAAAGGACUACGGGUCUGCCAGAGUGCUUGGCUAGGGUCUCCCUCUGUCCAGAUUUUUGUCCUUUUUUUUCCUUUACAUUUCAAAGUUUCCUUGAUCCAAGUUUCAGCUCAUCUGGUGUUACAGUGUAGAUAAGAUAAUUUCGUUUUUGAGCUUGGAAUGGUUUUAUUCGUAUCUUUAGCAUCCUUCACCUUCCGAGAUACAAGAUCUACUCUUGCAAAUAAACACACAUUGCAUUUGUCAUUUUUCAUGUCUGCAAUUAACUUACAGUUCACGGAACGUACCAUCGCAGAUAGAUUCUCAUUUUCCACCUGGACAGUCCGGAAUAUAAUAUCUAGCAUCCCCGCUGGAUUGAAAUUUGGUCGCCUCAUGGCCCUGAUGGCACCAGGCAGCGGAUCAGCGUGGAGCACCCGAAUCAUGGUCAUCUUUUCUGUUUUCAGACUGGCAGCAAGUAGGGCAAGUUACCCCUGGAGAGUUUGCCUUCCGGAUACCUUAUGUGGCUGAUCACUUAUUUCAAUGGGGAAAUCCCCUUUUUCCUCCUCAUCUUCUCCCUCUAGUGGAUGAAGUAUCAGUAUAUCAUGAUAAAGCUGCUCUAUCUCGUCCAAAAAGGGCACUUGGGCAGGCGCGUUCUGUUUAGACUCUAUCUCGUCCAAAAAGGGUACUUGGGCAGGGGCGUUCAGUUUGGAGGUUAUGGAGUCUAAAUUUAAGUUUAAAUUUGGCCCAGUAUGUGGCAUUCCUAAGGAAAUAUUUGGAUCAUCCGACUUGGUACACAGAAUUUUUGUUCGAAAUGUGCCUGGCUACAUCUUUUCUCACGGCUCGUAAUGGUGACUCUUCACCUUGAUGUUCAGAUAACUCGCGAUUUCUCGCACUCUCCUCCCUCCAUGCCCUGCUCCCCUUCCUCUAAGCCCGGCUCCUCUCCCUCAAGGGACAGAUGUGAAUUUCAGGUACCUUCAAUGUUUUUUCUUUGCCACAGAAUUUUUGUUAAAAAUAUGCCUGGCUACAUCUUUCCUCACAUGGUCGUACUGGUGACUCUUCACCCGGAUGUUCAGAUACCUUGCGAUUUCACGCACGGUUUCGUAGAAUUGGACAGCGCCUAAUUUAAGAAACGGCAGUGCCGUACCAUUCUUCUGUCAAGGGACAGAUGUGAAUUUCAGGUACCUUCAAUGUUUUUUCUUUGCCACAGAAUUUUUGUUAAAAAUAUGCCUGGCUACAUCUUUCCUCACAUGGUCGUACUGGUGACUCUUCACCCGGAUGUUCAGAUACCUUGCGAUUUCACGCACGGUUUCGUAGAAUUGGACAGCGCCUAAUUUAAGAAACGGCAGUGCCGUACCAUUCUUCUGUCAAGGGACAGAUGUGAAUUUCAGGUACCUUUGAUGCUUUUUCUUAUGCCACAGAAUUUCUGUUUGAUAUAUGUCUGGCAACAUCCUUCCUUAACGUCUCGUAGAAGUGACUUUUUACCCCGAUGUCCAUAUAUCCUGCUAAUU